GCGUGACGAAAUCUCAAGAGGGGGCCAAUUUCAUAUAAGAACACACCAUAUGCAUAAAAAGCCACUAAGUUGUAGAACGGAUGCAAGGACAAUUAGAGGACCAUAUCAUUGUUGAGUAGCCAACUAGAAAGGAACAGACGACGCCAAACAGUAGUGAGUAGCCAACUAGAGCGUCCUGGAUAAUCCAGUAGUGAGUAGCCAACUAGAACAUCAUCAUCUUGCAUCUGAUUUUUCUGCCCAAUAUCAUCUUCCAUUUGACCUUCUUUGGCAUCUUCAUGCUGUCUUUCACCCAUAUAUUGAACCAAUGAUAGAGCAUAAGGAGGUAAUGGAGAUUUAACUAUUUCAUCAUCCCCUUUCCUUUAAAAAAAAGACUGCAUCUUCCGUUGUUUCACCAUCGCUACCUAAACAAAAAAUUAUAAAGCGUCAAAAUUUCUAUCCAAUAAUCAAUUGGGGCAGUAACUAGCAGCAGUGGUGAAUUAGGGCAUCUCAAAUUCUCAAUUCGUCACAUGUGAAGUAACAGAAGCAGUGACUAGCAGCAGUGGUGACUAGAACUCUACAAGAACAUCAAAAAUUCGGUGAAUCAAAAUAAGCAAAGACUGUACCUAGCAAGUAGAGAGGAGGAGCAGGGUGCAGCCGAGCAGUACCGAACUGCCGGCGCCCGAUGGGUGCGCCACGCCGCGGGUGCGGACACUCCAGCUGUCCAAGAGCCGGCUGAGAAGGGGAUUGAGAUCUGCUCGCCAGUUGCCGCCGCCGUCGUCAAGGAAUCAGGUCGCCGGACGCGGAGGCGGGGAGGUGGGAGGAUGGGGAUUGGGGAACGACCAAACGAGGGUGAACGACUGGCUCGUACGCGUUGACUCUCAGGGUCAGAGGUGUCGCUACUCGCUCGAGCUGCUGCCAAACACGGAGCUGCAAGUGG
rnacentral:lncRNA from 1 species